UGUUAGUUAACUCCACAAAUUAGUGCAGUGGCCAUGACAGUCGAGGCCCCCAGUCCCCAGUCCCCUAGGCUUAUACAACAGACGCCGGUUGUCCCAUCCUUUGCUCAAUCCUAUUUAAGACGAGGAUUGUGCACUCCUGGCUGGAGUCCAGGAGGGUGGGAGCCACUGGGUGGUAGUGGAGCGGCCCUGUCUCCAGGCCAGACUCUCCUGCUCCUGGCCCUCUUGACGCUCACAGAGUGGCCUCUGUGGCUGCCGAGCCCUGUGCUGCAGCAUAAAUCCUCAGCUUUUGUCUGUGUUUAAUCCCACCCUGAGAAGUGAUAUCCAAGUGCAACUGUUUCCAGCCAGGAGCGCAGCUCCCAGGCCCUGCUGCUGCCUACCCAAGACAAACAGAUGUAACAAGGAAUUUCUAGCACAGUGCUGGUCCUCUGUGUUAAUAAAUGGCCGACCAGGAGUACUGGGUAAUGCAAGCUGGGAACUCCCCAUCACACACAGACACUGGAGCCGGCUCUGACACAUGGGGCAGAGACUCGGCCUUUGGUUCCCUGAGGACUGAAUUUACACACCCUCUUAGUUGCCACCCAACUGUUUCUAGCUAAAGCUAUUUUUGAAGUAUCCUGAAGGAAAGCACACAAGACUCUAGCCUCUCCCUGCCUGUCCUGGGUUUCCAAGGUCAGGAUAUGGUGGAAAGACCUGUUCAAGGGACAUGGCAUGGAGGGAGCUGUCACAGUUACAGAGAAGGGAGCCCCCUUUUUGGUCAAAGGCAAGUAUUGUGAAAGGUUACUUUUCUAGAAAGGCACAAACAUCAACCCAAGCCCCUAAUAAAGCGGGGCCCAGUAAACUGUGCAGAUAACUGAAGCACUAAAGAGAGAAAAAGACAUCUAGUCAUUUGUAAUACAGCUUUGGUGCAUGAUAUAUAACAUUUUGUACAUUAAAAGGUUUUUGGCGAUUUCUCUUUAAAGCAGACCACAAAGUAGACAAGAGAUUGGUUAUUAUGGAACACUUGUGUGUUAAACGCGAUUUCCAUCUCUGCGGCACCCAAUUCCAGAAACGUUAACUGGACAAUCCUCAGGGGAUGGUGGAUCAUCUGCAUCUGUUUCCAGACGUGCAUGAAGGAUCUCCUUCGUACACCUACACAACCCAUGCGAUUUCCCUUGAACCAUGACUAACCAGCUGUCUGGACGACAUCCAGGGCGAGUCACAAGAGGCUUGGGAAUCCUGGGAGGCUGUUUUCAGAUUAUGGAAAUGCAAAUCAAAUCCUCCCUGAUACGACUUCACACCCACUAGGACGGCUAUAGAAUCAAAAAGAUGGACAAUAACAAGUGCUGGUGAGGACAUGGAGCAACUGGAACCCUUGCACACUAACAGGUGAGACUGUAAGAUGGUGCGGCCAUUUUAGAAUACAGUCUGGCACUUCCUCAUUAUAUGAAUGAAACACAGCAUUACCAUAUGACCCAGAAAUUCCAUUCCUAUAGGUAUACAUCCAGCCUGUGUGCAAAAACUUGUACAUGAAUGUUUAAGGCUGCAUUAUUCCUAAUAGCCAAAAUGUGGAAACAACUCAAAUGUCCAUCAACUGAUGAAUGGACAGACAAAAUGGAAUGUGUCCGUACAAUGGUGAAGGGGCUUGGCAGACGAGCAGCCCCAUUUAGCCCUAAAAAGGCGUGAAGGACUGAUGCGUGCCGCAACACAGAUGUACUUUUCAUAAAAUGUCCAGAUAAAAUAAAAAUAAAUAAAUAAUACAAAGUCAAUAAAUACAUAAAAUAUCCAGAUAAAAUGCUUGACACUAUAUAAUUAAUAAUAAGAAAUAAACUAAAAAAAAGUACACCAUAACUUCAGUUUUUGAAAGUCUUUAUUGCUAUCUUUCCUUCCUCCCUCCUCCUCCUUCUUCCUUCAUGAUGUUCAUCUGAUAUUAAAGGUAGUUAUUUCAAGGUGGUAGAACCUGAGAAUCUUUGUUUUUCUACAUUACUUAUAUUUUUUUAUGAUCAACAUAUAUUACUUUCCCCCAGAAAAUCAGUAAUUUCCUAAAAA
rnacentral:lncRNA from 1 species